UACGAAGGGGGCUAGCGUUGCUCGGAAUUACUGGGCGUAAAGCGCACGUAGGCGGAUCUUUAAGUCAGGGGUGAAAUCCUGGAGCUCAACUCCAGAACUGCCUUUGAUACUGAGGGUCUUGAGUUCGGGAGAGGUGAGUGGAAUUCCCAGUGUAGAGGUGAAAUUCGUAGAUAUUGGGAAGAACACCGGUGGCGAAGGCGGCUCUCUGGACCGAGACUGACGCUGAGGCGCGAAAGCGUGGGGAGCAAACAGG
rnacentral:rRNA from 1 species